GUCCCUGUAGUGCAAUGGAUAGCGCUUUAGACUUUUAUUCCAAAGGUAGUGGGUUCUAAUCCCACCUGGGAUG